rnacentral:rRNA from 1 species
GACGAACGCUGGCGGCGUGCCUAAUACAUGCAAGUAGAACGCUGAAGAGAGGAGCUUGCUCUUCUUGGAUGAGUUGCGAACGGGUGAGUAACGCGUAGGUAACCUGCCUUGUAGCGGGGGAUAACUAUUGGAAACGAUAGCUAAUACCGCAUAACAAUGGAUGACACAUGUCAUUUAUUUGAAAGGGGCAAUUGCUCCGCUACAAGAUGGACCUGCGUUGUAUUAGCUAGUAGGUGAGGUAAUGGCUCACCUAGGCGACGAUACAUAGCCGACCUGAGAGGGUGAUCGGCCACACUGGGACUGAGACACGGCCCAGACUCCUACGGGAGGCAGCAGUAGGGAAUCUUCGGCAAUGGGGGCAACCCUGACCGAGCAACGCCGCGUGAGUGAAGAAGGUUUUCGGAUCGUAAAGCUCUGUUGUAAGUCAAGAACGGGUGUGAGAGUGGAAAGUUCACACUGUGACGGUAGCUUACCAGAAAGGGACGGCUAACUACGUG